rnacentral:rRNA from 1 species
AGCUCCAAUAGCGUAUAUUAAAGUUGUUGCAGUUAAAAGCUCGUAGUUGGAUUUCUGGGAGGGUGCCAAUGUCCGGUUGAUUCGUGCGCAGCGGCGGCCUCCCAUCCUUCUGUCAACGCUUCGCGGCAUUCAUUUGCCGGUCGCGGGCUCAGAUAUUUUACCUUGAGAAAAUUAGAGUGUUUCAGGCAGGCUAGGCCGGAAUACAUUAGCAUGGAAUAAUGGAAUAGGACUUCGGUCUCUUUGUUGGUUUGAGGGACCAAAGUAAUGAUUAAUAGGGAUAGUUGGGGGCAUUAGUAUUUAAUUGUCAGAGGUGGAAUUCUCAGAUUUGUUAAAGACUAACUUAUGCG